rnacentral:tRNA from 1 species
GAUGGUGUAGCUCAGCGGUUAGAGCGGUUGACUGUUAAUCAACGGGUCGAUAGUUCAAAUCCAUCCACCAUCGCCA